rnacentral:misc_RNA from 1 species
GAAGAACGCAGCGAAAUGCGAUAAGUAAUGUGAAUUGCAGAAUUCAGUGAAUCAUCGAAUCUUUGAACGCACCUUGCGCCCUUUGGCCAUUCCGAAGGGCAUGCCUGUUUGAGUAUCAUGAACACCUCAACUCUUCAUGGUUUUCCGUGAUGAGCUUGGACUUUGGGGGUCUUGCUGGCCUAUGGUCAGCUCCUCUAAAAUAAAUCAGCUUGCCAGUGUUUGGUGGGUAUCACAGGUGUGAUAACUAUCUACGCUUGUGGUUUUCCACCAGGUAACCUUCAGCAGUGGAGGUUCGCUGGAGCUCACAGAUGUGUCUCUCCUCAGUGAGGACAGCUCUUUGAAUGUUUGAUCUCAAAUCAGGUAGGACUACCCGCUGAACUUAAGCAUAUCAAUAAGCGGAGGA